rnacentral:lncRNA from 1 species
UGAAGUUUUGAUAACGAUAACGCAUGGAAAUAGAUUUCAACCAUAAUGAUAACCAAAGAAUCCUAUGAAUUAUUAGCAAAUGACUCAAGAUCAAAGUGCCUAUGCAAUCAGAUACUAUCUAGCAAAAUUCAUAAAGCCUCUUCGGGCAAAGAUGUGAAAGUUCGUCAGGUCAUGUCUAUCGGUUUGUCUGAGUAAACCAAGUAAUGUAAGAGUAACGCAGUAACUUAAGAGGCUCGCG